rnacentral:rRNA from 1 species
AGAGUUUGAUCAUGGCUCAGAACGAACGCUGGCGGCGUGGAUAAGACAUGCAAGUCGAGCGCUAAUUUGGGUGUAGCAAUACACCUGAGUUGGAGCGGCGCAAGGGUGCGUAACACGUGGGUAAUUUGCCGUGAAGUUGGGGAUAACUCGCUGAAAGGCGAGCUAAUACCGAAUGUGGAGUUUGGGUGGCAUCACCUGAUCUCUGAAGCUGGGGAUCGCAAGACCUGGCGCUUCAUGAUAAGCCCGCGGCCUAUCAGCUAGUUGGUGAGGUAACGGCUCACCAAGGCUAAGACGGGUAGCUGGUCUGAGAGGACGACCAGCCACACUGGAACUGAGACACGGUCCAGACACCUACGGGUGGCAGCAGUCGAGAAUUUUUCUCAAUGGGCGCAAGCCUGAAGGAGCGACGCCGCGUGGGGGAUGAAGGGUUUCGAUCCGUAAACCCCUGUCAUUUGUGAACAAUGGUUACCGUGGAACAUGCGGUGACUUGAUAGUAAUGAAAGAGGAAGGGACGGCUAACUCUGUGCCAGCAGCCGCGGUAAUACAGAGGUCCCGAGCGUUGUUCGGAUUCACUGGGCGUAAAGGGUGCGUAGGUGGCCUGAAAAGUUUGAUGUGAAAGCUCAGGGCUUAACCCUGAAAUGGCAUUGAAUACUGUUGGGCUGGAGGUUUGGAGGGGGGACUGGAAUUCUUGGUGUAGCAGUGAAAUGCGUAGAUAUCAAGAGGAACACCAGUGGCGAAGGCGAGUCCCUGGACAACACCUGACACUGAGGCACGAAAGCUAGGGGAGCAAACAGGAUUAGAUACCCUAGUAGUCC